AACUCGUCCUCUAAAAGAUCUUAUAUUUACACCUGUUUUAUCAUAAUUGGUUGGGGUUAAUGGGUUUGUCUGGGGAGUGUAGGAAUUGUGGCAACGAAUCUAUACAUAUAUAUAUGUAUAUAUAUUAUUUGAGAAGAAGGCAAAUGCAAUGGAUAAGUACAGACACAUUUUUGUUUAUUGCUAGUGAAUGUGAUUGGCAGAAGGAAUUAAUUGAUGGAGUAAAACAAAACACUAUUCACUGCUACAGCCUACAGCCUUUCUCUGUUUCUGUCUAGGGCAGAGAGCAGCAAUCCUUCUCUAUCUCUUCUGUUGCCCAAAAAUCGUUCAUACUUGAAAAAUUCAAAUCAAUCCCAGCCCAAAUCGCCUUUUUCUUCUCUUUUUUAUUUUUUAUUUUUUUAAUAACAAAACAGAAAGAGUAGGUUACACAUUAGGUGGCACAGCCCUGUCAUAGUGCAUAGGCGUGUUGGGAUUCAUAUCCCGUGCAAUACCUAGGGUAUUGCAUGAUGUGCCAUUGCUUUAAUCCUAGCCAUUCAAUUGAUCUAAUGCUCAAAAAUUGGACAGCUCAAUAAACACGUCAGCGAUCCGUGUGAGCCCUCAUUUUUCUCUGUUCUUUUAAUUUCUCCUCUCUCUCUUCUUCACGCUUACCCCUAUUCAAAAAUUUCAGAAACACUCUGGCUCUCUCUCUUCUAGCCGAACAUGCCUCAGAGUCUCUCUCUCUCAUGCCUCAAAAAAAAGCCACCAGUGAUUCUCCGGUUACCUCUCCACCGAAGAAUGAAUGUGAACCAACAGUGUUUCAGCUACCCACCCAAAUGUGAUUAGAUCUGCCAAAUACCAACAGAAGUAACCACAAGCAUGAAGCCAGAAGAAACCAACACAGCCAGAAAUAAUCAAAGCAAAGAGAGCCAAAAAAAAACAAAGAGGGCAUUAGCUGGGUAAACCCGAAAUUCCUCUUUUAUUUUUCUAUAGCUCUAUCUACAUUUUUUGUACACAAUACACACACCAUCACGGAGUCACAGCACCCACAUUCUACUUCUAAUCUACUCACACAUACAUGCGCUAUGCUCACCUGGACACAUAACACAAUAGCACAAAAAGCUCCAUAGCUUACUCCCUGUUUGAGAUUAUGCGUUUGAGAGAGUAGCUUUUGGUUUGGGUUUAGAGAGAGAGAGAAAGUGAGAGUAUGAGGAAGGCCGUUUGGGUCUGCGGUGCUAGAGGAGGUGCAACCACCAUCCGUGGUGGCGAUGAAGAUCGAAGAUGGAGGAAGCUUGAGCUUCGGCCAGUGCGUUUUUGCAGAGAGAGCUCGGGUUGAGAGACCGGGUUAAGGAGAAGGAAUAUAGGAAACGGUCCAGGUCAGACCCGACCCAGUGAUGUGGGUUCCUUACCCGUUUAGUCUUGUGUAGGAUUUGAUCCAACCCAGCUCAGUGGGCUUCUCUUAGCCCAUUAGCUAUAGAGCCUUAGGCCCCUUCUGUUUUAGCCCAAUCCGAAGGUAACUCUAAUAGGCAUCCAGCCCCAGCUCAUCACUCCUUUAAUGUUAGCCCAGAUCCGAACCUACACAGGGUCUAGGCCCUUACACUUUGGAUAUAAACCCAUAACUCUUUUUAAUACAUGUUUCAGCCCACCUUUUAAAUAAAAAGGGCCCAUCGGCAUGUUUUCCUUUUAAUUAAUAAAAUGCCAUCAUGUUUUCUUGCAUGUUCAUAUUUUAAUCCAUGCUUUGUCAUAUUUGCAUUAUGCCAUGGAAUUUUCUCAUAUUUAUAUAUUGGUCAUAAGCUUGUCAUAAUUGCAUUUUGACCAUAAAAUUUCCCAAAAUCAUGUUUUAAUCCCAAAUAUUACCAAAAAUCAUAUUUUGACCUUGAUUUUCCUCCAAAAUUGCAUUUUGACCCAGAAAAUUCUCAAAAUCAUCUUUUAAUCCCAAAAAUUCCUAAAAAUGAUAUUUUUGCGCCAGUUUUCCUCAAAAAUUGUAUUUUAACCCAAAAUAUUGCCAAAAUCAUGUUUUAAUCCCAAAAUUCUAAAAAAUUAUAUUUUGACCUGGUUUUUCCCCAAAAAAAAAACAUUUUGACCGAAAGCUUUCACAAACUCAUGUUUUGAACCCCAAACUUUUACAAAAUUACAUUUUGGCCCCUAGUAUCACCAAAUUCCCUUUUCAAUUUCUUUGAACGAAUGAAGUGUCUAGUUGCUUAAUAAAUUUUAUUGCUGAUAGAUCAAAAUGGGAUAACAUAUUAUUUGGAAUUCGCAUGUUUAUCCAUAUCCCAAUCAAGCUAACUCCCCCUCCCCUUGCACUAAUGUUUUGGUUCGUUAUGUUUGUGCAUGAGAAUGAGAAAAUGAAGAAUAAAGUUGUUGAAAGUUCAUCAUAUCCAGAGGGCAGUAGAGUAAAGUGCAUCUAUUCAGGACCACAUCUUCUGAUCUAACCACUGGGGAAUAUUUCAUUCACGAAAUAAGGGAUGAGUGUUCAUUGUUCAUUAAAGGGUUGCAAUUUCAAGGAUGGUUAUAAUAUGUUAUAUGUAUUUGGGAUGGACGCUUCACUUUUGCUAUUUGUUUUUGGUGCAGUUAGAUAGAACUUAGAUUAACUACUUGAACUGGUGGGAUUGUAAUUAUAUAUCCCCUGAUGAAGGAAUUGAACUUCUUGGUUUAUUUAAAAUCAUUAUGGAUAUCAAGUGAUGUAAGGCUACAUUGAAAAAAUCAUUAUAUAUUUUUUCAAGUACUGUUUCAGCAUUUACAUUUUGAAGUCAUAUUGUAUUUGUGGAUAAAUAUUUGUUCACCUUAUUUUCCCAGAUAGAGUUUUCUUCCAUGUUAUGGGGACCCCUUGAAUCAAUAAUUGUAUUACCUAACCGAGUGUGAAUUUUACGAUAACCACUGCGUCAUGUUAGUCUUGAGGCAUUUGAUAUGUUGUACGGGUUUAUUGUCCCAUGAUAUAAUAGCAUCAUAUUUUGAAUUUUUAGCUAAAA